rnacentral:lncRNA from 10 species
CCGAGACGGGUGGAUCACCUGACGCCAGAAGUUCGAGACCAGCCUGGCCAACAUGGUGAGACCCCCGUCUCUACUAAAAAUACAAAAUUUAGCUGUGCAUGGUGGUGCGCACCUGUAAUGCCAGCUACUUAGGAGGCUGAGACGUGACAAUCACUUGAACCUGGGAGGCAGAAGUUACAGUGAGCUGAGAUCGCACCACUGGACUCCAGCCUGGGGGAUAAAGUGAUACUCUGCCUCCAAAACCCCCCACCCCCCAAAAAAAAAACACAAACUAAA